UACGUAGGGUGCAAGCGUUAAUCGGAAUUACUGGGCGUAAAGCGUGCGCAGGCGGUUAUGCAAGACAGAUGUGAAAUCCCCGGGCUUAACCUGGGAACUGCACUUGAAACUACGAUGCUGGAGUAUGGCAGAGGGAGGUGGAAUUCCACGUGUAGCGGUGAAAUGCGUAGAGAUGUGGAGGAACACCGAUGGCGAAGGCAGCCUCCUGGGCCAAUACUGACGCUCAUGCACGAAAGCGUGGGGAGCAAACAGG
rnacentral:rRNA from 1 species